UGGGGGAUAUUGCACAAUGGGCGAAAGCCUGAUGCAGCGACGCCGCGUGGGGGAUGAAGGCCUUCGGGUUGUAAACUUCUUUUGCUCUGAACAAGGCAUGCUAAUGGGUGUGUUGAGUGUAGGGGUUGAUUAGCGCCGGCUAACUACGUGCCAGCAGCCGCGGUAAUACGUAGGGCGCGAGCGUUGUCCGGAAUUAUUGGGCGUAAAGAGCUUGUAGGUGGCUGGUUGCGUCUGUCGUGAAAGCUCAUGGCUUAACUGUGGGUUUGAGGUGGGUACGGGCUGGCUUGAGUGCAGUAGGGGAGGCUGGAAUUCCUGGUGUAGCGGUGGAAUGCGCAGAUAUCAGGAGGAAUACCGGUGGCGAAGGCGGGUCUCUGGGCUGUUACUGACACUGAGGAGCGAAAGCAUGGGGAGCGAACAGG
rnacentral:rRNA from 1 species